rnacentral:pre_miRNA from 1 species
AUAAUACUUCCUCCAUCCCAAAAUUCUUGUCUUAGAUUUGUCUAAAUAUGGAUGUAUCAAGUCACAUUUUAGUAUUAGAUACAUCUGUAUCUAGACAAAUUUAAGACAAGAAUUUUGAGACGAAGGGAGUACUAA